GUAGGUGAACCUGCGGAAGGAUCAUUAUCGUGGGGCUUCGGCCCUAUCGAGAUAGAACCCUUGCCUUUAUAGUACCGUUCGUUGCCUCGGCAAUGCGUAAUAGCACAGCCAAUGGGGCCAAACAAAAAACCAAACCUCUUUAACAAGCAGUUAGUCUGAAAAACAAACAAAAGUUAAAACUUUCAACAACGGAUCUCUUGGUUCUG
rnacentral:misc_RNA from 1 species